rnacentral:rRNA from 1 species
AGGUUGACCUCGGAUCAGGUAGGAAUACCCGCUGAACUUAAGCAUAUCAUUAAGCGGAGGA